rnacentral:rRNA from 1 species
GACGAACGCUGGCGGCGUGCUUAACACAUGCAAGUCGAACGGUAAGGCCCUUCGGGGUACACGAGUGGCGAACGGGUGAGUAACACGUGGGUGAUCUGCCCUGCACUUCGGGAUAAGCCUGGGAAACUGGGUCUAAUACCGGAUAGGACCCUGGGAUGCAUGUCCUGGGGUGGAAAGCUUUUGCGGUGUGGGAUGGGCCCGCGGCCUAUCAGCUUGUUGGUGGGGUGAUGGCCUACCAAGGCGACGACGGGUAGCCGGCCUGAGAGGGUGACCGGCCACACUGGGACUGAGAUACGGCCCAGACUCCUACGGGAGGCAGCAGUGGGGAAUAUUGCACAAUGGGCGCAAGCCUGAUGCAGCGACGCCGCGUGAGGGACGACGGCCUUCGGGUUGUAAACCUCUUUCAGUAGGGAAGAAGCGAAAGUGACGGUACCUGCAGAAAAAGCACCGGCUAACUACGUGCCAGCCGCCGCCUGUAA